GUUCCGCGCAUUCUUCCGGCUAACAAUCUAGAAGAGGUCUUUUGAGACGGAUGUGAUUAAGAUUUAAGUAAAAUUUCAUCGAUCACGCACGGACUGAGGACCGAACAAAGGCUCCAGCAUUGGCUCCAGCGCACUUUCGCAUCGAUCCUGCGGUCUCGACUGUCUCAAGCACGAGAGGUCUGCACCUUCGCGGCAGUCGCGGCCGCGGCACCGUAUUGUUCUCAUCUCAUCCUAGUUUUCUAAUCUGGGAACGAGAGAUAAAAAAUACAAGCAGACAUUUGUUUCUUGUGACCUAAAACCUAACGCAGAGCAUAGAGUAUCUUAACGAUCUCUCGAUCCACGGAGAUUAUCUGUGUAUAGAUAAGAGUCAAGUCUCACCAACUCUUCAUAUCUCGAACCACAGUGACCACCAGGGCCUUCCGCAGCAUACCCGCCCGUAUUGAAGCAAAAUAGUAAUAUCAUGGACGACGAUGUGGAGCUGCCGCCCCCCAGAAGAACUAAGCGCUUCACUUUGACUGCCUACUCUGCGUCUCCACAAAUCGCAGAUGAGCCAUAGUAUGCGGAUGCCUUCAAAGGAGACCGGGUGAUCAUGUCCACUCAUAUGAGACCCUGGAUUGACGAGAUCAAGAUUCUCUAUGAAUUUGAAGAAGAUAACCAGAUGGUAUUUUCGAUAUAUGCUGACACAAGGACGAAUGGAAUCAAAGACAAAAUCUUCUGUGGCCUGCUAAAGCUCAUUCCUAGCCCGAGGAAAGGUUUAUGCUUGGUCCCAGACAGACUCCUUACCAAGCUGGGCGUCCAAUCAGGGACUCGGGCUAGCGUUACCAGCCGCAAGAUAACAGCAGCUACUGAACUGAUUUUCACCAGUCCGAGGCAAAUUAUUCUGACGCGUGGACCUGCCCUUGCAGAAAGCCUUGGAGAAGCUCUGAAGCAAUCGACAACUUUGAAACUCAAGGACCAAGUGGGAUUUCUCUUUGACGGAACAUACACACUUGUCACCUGAUUUUUAAAAGUCCCGAACAAGCGAAGGUGGUGAGGGUUGGCAGAGGACGAAGUGACCCCCAAUUCUUGGUUGGGUAUAUCAACCCCGAUAGGUUUAAAGAGCUUGUGCCUGAACUUAAAAAACUCGUGCCUGAACUUGAAGAACCUUUGCCUGAACCUCAAGAAGCCGUUGAGCCUGAAAAUCCUUAGUGAAGGACCAAGUGAUCAGAUUAAGAUGAAUUUAGUUGCAAAUUUAAAUUUGAAUUUAAAUUAACAGUUCUAUUUUUCAAUUAUUUAAGUUUAUUUGAUUAAAAAUUUGAAAAGCUGUCAUGGUGCAUCUACUUAAGAGAGGGAUAAUAGAAGGGGAAAAAAUUACGCACUCUCGUUUGUGCUCGUAACUCUUUUCAUGCACUCUCAAUUCCAAUGAUUCCACAAACCUUUCCUUUACAUGGCCUUCACCUUAUGUAAAAACGGUUGGCUUAAUAAUUAAAAGAGGAGAAUCCGAGAAUGAUAAUUUUUUUAUUAUCAUUUGACUAUUGUCUUUAUUUUGUUAUCUAAAAAUGGCAUCGACGUGUCAAACGUCACAAAUAAUAGGGAAAAAAAUGACGCACUCUCAUUUGUGCUCGUAACUCUUUUUGCUACGCAAAGCCUCUAAACUGAUAAAACUAGCCUAGCACAUUUGAACAGAACAAGGCGCGGUGCUUACUAUGAGAGGCACUCGCUUUUUUCUUCCUCGGUGCAAAUCAUCAUAUCAUACGCACAACUUUUUAUUCAUCAACAAAUUUUGUUCAUUGCUUCAAAAUUUUCAGUACUUAUUAAUUCACAGAAAACUAACAAAUCACUUGGAUUUGCCAACUUUUAAUUCUAUGAUUAUGUGAAAGAGACACAUUUUGAUUUUAUAUCAAGUUAAACACUUUUUAAAUUUGGUUCUGUUUCAACAAUUGUCACUCAGAUGCUUUUAGCAUGCAAUUUUAAAUA